UAAGCGGAGGAAAAGAAACUAACAAGGAUUCCCCUAGUAACUGCGAGUGAAGNGGGAAAAGCUCAAAUUUAAAAUCUGGUNNUCUUUGGCCAUCCGAGUUGUAAUCUAGAGAAGCGUCUUCCGCGCUGGACCGUGCACAAGUCUCCUGGAACGGAGCGUCGUAGAGGGUGAGAAUCCCGUCUUUGGCAUGGACACACCAGGGCUUUUGUGAUGCGCUCUCGAAGAGUCGAGUUGUUNGGGAAUGCAGCUCAAAAUGGGUGGUGAACUCCAUCUAAAGCUAAAUAUUGGCGAGAGACCGAUAGCGAACAAGUNCCGUGAGGGAAAGAUGAAAAGCACUUUGGAAAGAGAGUGAAACAGUACGUGAAAUUGUUGAAAGGGAAACGCUUGAAGUCAGUCGCGUCGACCGAGACUCAGCCUCGCCUCGGGC
rnacentral:rRNA from 1 species